UGGGCUUUUAGAGUCUAUUUUGAAUGCCUCAGAGACUGUCCUGAACCCUAGGGUCAGAGGGCCACACAGCCAUCUUGCUCUCACCCUAGGAAGGCAGUCCUGGGCUUGGGGUUGGCCCUUAAAGGCAGGAGAAGCCAAAU